rnacentral:rRNA from 1 species
UGGGGGAAUAUUGCACAAUGGGCGCAAGCCUGAUGCAGCAACGCCGCGUGAGGGACGACGGCCUUCGGGUUGUAAACCUCUUUUAGUAGGGAAGAAGCGAAAGUGACGGUACCUGCAGAAAAAGCACCGGCUAACUACGUGCCAGCAGCCGCGGUAAUACGUAGGGUGCGAGCGUUGUCCGGAAUUAUUGGGCGUAAAGAGCUCGUAGGCGGUCUGUCGCGUCUGCUGUGAAAACCCGAGGCUCAACCUCGGGCCUGCAGUGGGUACGGGCAGACUAGAGUGCGGUAGGGGAGAAUGGAAUUCCUGGUGUAGCGGUGGAAUGCGCAGAUAUCAGGAGGAACACCGAUGGCGAAGGCAGUUCUCUGGGCCGUAACUGACGCUGAGGAGCGAAAGCGUGGGGAGCGAACAGGAUUAGAUACCCUGGUAGUCCACGCCGUAAAACGUUGGGCGCUAGAUGUGGGGACCAUUCCACGGUUUCCGUGUCGCAGCUAACGCAUUAAGCGCCCCGCCUGGGGAGUACGGCCGCAAGGCU